GAGCACACUAAGACCGGCGUCUCUUCAGACACAUUCUGCAGCAAUAGCCAAAGAGUCAGGCUCCGGCCAGCAGAACCGGCAGCUCUGCUCUGCGAGCGAGUAUCAGAUCAGAGCGUGCGCCGCAACACAGCAGAUCCAUGAUCCAGCCCAGCGACGAUUGACAUAUGUGAUUCGCGCAGCAGGAUGUGUCUGAAGUGGCUCCAGUAGCAGUGCGCUC